UUGAAGCACAAGUGAUGGCACGGGAUGUUUCCCAGCACUGAGCUCCAGACCAGCUGCUGCUCUGCCCCUCCAUGACUGUUCCCUCCUACAGUGGCCUUGUUAAACAGGAAUCAAACUGAAGCAGCAGGAUGUUCCCAGGUGCCUGCUUGCUGUGCUGUUUGGAAGUUCCCAGGGGGAUCACUGCCAGUUAUUAGUCCUCUUGGAAGAAAGCCUGUAGCAGCGUGGCAGGUUGCUUUGGACUGAGAAUCUGAACAAGCUGCUCGGAGGCAGUGAGCAUUAUGAACUCCAGAGAAAGAUCAGGGCUUAAAAUUUCAUCCUAUUCCCCAAUGCCUUGAGCCACCUGCAACUGCUUACUCUUAUACACCCAACUCCAAACUAUUUUUUUACUAGACUGCCACGUUCUUAUUGCACAGGUAACCUUUCCCAAGUAUUCCUCUAAAACAGCUCUGCUUUCUUGAAAUGCUAUAAAAUGUUAACUGCCUUAAGAGAAAAACUAAUCUCACUUUUGUCACCACUGUUUUUUUUUCGCAGGCUGCUGAAAACAGAGCCGUAGGCUUUACAACUAAGGUAUGUAAGAAUGUUUGCCAUAUACUGCCAUCUGUUGUUCCAGUGUACUGAUUUUACCACUAUGCCUCUGUAGAUUUAUUCAAGCAGUAAGCAUGUAGAGCAUUCAUGUUCUAAAUCAGCAGUACCUUUACAGCAAAAUGUACACACAUGUAUCACAAGCUUUACCUGUACGCAUACACACCAAAAUCAUAAAAGACUGUGUGGUUGCAUGAAUAUAUUUACAUAUACUGCCCUACAUAUUUAGACUGCUGUGUCAGAAGGUGUAUAAUUAUGGUUUGUAUAUACAUGAUCUAUGUGAUCAUGUUUAAUUGGAGUCCCCUAUCUAACCAGUUGGUACAUUGUUUCCUGAAUCUAUCAGAAAAAAGUAGAACGUAAUGUUUCAAAAGCUGGCUGGAAACUAAAACAAUUAUUGUGUAAUUGAGCAGGGGGGUUAUCACUGCGGAAUGGAGAGCGACCCUAAAGCAGCCAGGCACAUGUGGAAGUCAGAUAUACACUGACUGAGUGGUUCACAAGAUGCUGAAAACAAUAUUCAGGUUUUUAAAACCCAUGUGCAUGUCUUACCUGAAAGGGAAUCUCCUGCCUUGGAUACUUACCUGUAAUUCAGUAUAUCUAGGUCAAUUCCCAGCUCUUUUUUUUUUCUCCACAGUCUCAAGCAGCUCUCUUAAACUCAGCCCCUUCAGCUCAUCUACCCAACAAAGUUAAUUAAUUUGCUUUCACUCCUGCUUCUCUCUUUCCUGUCCAUUUCUUUGCAAGAGCUAUAGGCAGAGAUGUCUUUAUGUACACACUGCCAUAUAGACUCAUUUCUGUCUUGGGCUUGCCAUCAUCUGGACAUGACUGAAAUGUUUCUAGCUCUAAACUAACCAGGAAAAGCUUCACACUCUACGGACCUAAAGCAGAAUUUACUCCAAAGCUAGAAUCACUGCAGACUUCAACAGGCACUGUCCAGGAUAACAGGAAGCCUGAAUGAACCUCUAACAAAGCAAAGCAUAGUAUUUCUGUGUCCAAAACCUGCAAAAUUAGCAUGCUUUUAAAGUGAAAGUGGUGAGACUUGAGCAGUAUGUGAAAGCAGCUGUGCCUGGUCCAGCCAGUGGUUAAGUUAGCUCAGAAAAUUUGUGAGAUCCACAAUAGCCUCUGAAGGGCACAAACCUUCACACAGCAGCAGUCGAUUCAGCCUGAGCUGAGCACAGAGUUAUGGUUGUUGGUUAUAAACGUUUGCAUUGGAAAAAAUAAGCAGAUGUCAUGGACUAGCUUUUCAGAUCUCACUCUGCACGACUUUUUUUUUGUUUUGUCUGAUGCUGUAAUGCACUGAAGCUUACUUCCACCUGUCACCAUGGAUUUUUAUAUCCAAAAUAAACAAUAUAUUUUUACA